AACGAACGCUGGCGGCAGGCCUAACACAUGCAAGUCGAACGUGAAGCCACCUUCGGGUGGUGGAACGUGGCAGACGGGUGAGUAACGCGUGGGAACGUGCCUUUCGGUUCGGGAUAACCCAGGGAAACUUGUGCUAAUACCGGAUACGCCCUCCGGGGGAAAGAUUCAUUGCCGGAAGAUCGGCCCGCGUCGGAUUAGCUAGUUGGUGGGGUAAAAGCCUACCAAGGCGACGAUCCGUAGCUGGUCUGAGAGGAUGACCAGCCACACUGGGACUGAGACACGGCCCAGACUCCUACGGGAGGCAGCAGUGGGGAAUAUUGGACAAUGGGCGCAAGCCUGAUCCAGCCAUGCCGCGUGGGUGAAGAAGGCCCUAGGGUUGUAAACCCCUUUCAGCGGGGAAGAUAAUGACGGUACCCGCAGAAGAAGCCCCGGCUAACUCCGUGCCAGCCGCCGCCGUAAUAC
rnacentral:rRNA from 1 species